GAGUUUGAAGUGAAGAAAUAAAUGUACAUAACCUAUAUUCAGUCAUCAAAGUCAAUGUAAUCUAGACGCAAACCAAGCCAUUGAAAACAUUAAAAAGCCUACUAAAAAUCAAGCUUCGUACAUACCGAAGAAAUGAAACAAGCUGCGGCCCAGCUGCGAUUGUCAUGCCCAUAACAUCCUUGUUUGUUGAAUUUUGGUAGAAUCCACCGUCUUCAGAACGAAAAAUCAUGUCGUUUUUCGGAUCCCCCUUAUCAAACUCGUACAAUAAUCACGAGUAUGACUUUGAAGAAGACAAACUAGAUGAGGAUGAGGAGAAAGAACACGAUCGUAUGGAUGGCAGUGAUGAAGACACUGAAGAUGCCAGUGAAACAGAUACAGGACGUCAAGAGGAACAAUUGGAAAUCAAAGAGCAAAUGUACCAGGACAAACUAGCGACUCUUAAGAAAAAAUUGACCCAGCUAAAAGAUGGCUCGCACGGCGAUUACAACAAAAAAGUCAAGAGAUUGGAAUCACAGUAUAACGAAAGAUUGAAGUUGAAUGAUAUCUAUAAAGAUUAUAUGUAUGAGUACAUAAAGAGGGAUUAUGCUCAAGAGAUCAAAGCGGCAGCCAAGGACUUCGAGGAAAAGAAAAUCGAUUUGAGGGAAACAUUGAUCUCUGACUUGGAAGAUAAGAAACGUAACAUAGAAACGGAAAGAUCUUCUAUGGAGCUGACUGGAGACUCCAUGGAGGUAAAACCUGCCAUGACUAGGAAACUGAGAAGGCGCCCAAAUGAGCCAAUUCCCAUGCCCGAAAAAAGGCGAAAAGCCCCAACAGCCCAAAUAACCUACUUGCUGGAUGAUAAAGAAGCUGACAACGAUUUGAGAAUGAUUAAAGAAAAAGCUGUUCUGCCCGUUAGGAAAUUGAGCGAAAGCUCAUCAUCCCUAGGCAGCCCCAAUCAUAAUUCCAGUAGCGUGGGAAGUCUGCAAAGUGUCAGUGAGGUUAGAACAUACAAAACAACAAAGCUUGAUAGAAACACGAAUUGAAGAUGGCAAGCUGCUGUAUGAAAAACGUUGGUUUCAUAGAGGUCAAUCAAUUUUUGUUGAAGGAAAGGACCAACCUAAAACCGCAGCUACUAUUUCGGCCGUUGGUAACGAUUGUAUUUUCGUGAAGAAGCAAAAUGGGGAAAAACUUCGUUUCUUCUUGGCUAGCUUGGCAAGAGGAAAAAUUUCAAUUAAAAGACGGGCGUCUUAGAAUUCCUUUGUGACGUUACUUUUAUUUUUUUAUAUUUAAUUUUUCCCAUUUAGAAUAUAUACGAUAUACAUUUGGUUUCUAUACGUUUUGUUUCUAAUUUAAAAUUAAAAAAAUUAUGAAUA